GCCUUUUGACCUAAAUAUCCUAAAGAAAUCAGAUCCCAUUUGAUCUUGAAAGCUAAGCAGGAUCAGCCCUGGUGAGUACAUGGAUGAGAGACCACCAAUCACUACCAGAUGAGACAGGCU
rnacentral:rRNA from 11 species